GAGGCUCUCUUUAGCAUUAGUGCAAUCUGGGAAAAUUUUAGUCUCUGUGCGAUAUCCAGUGAACUCUCACCAUGCUGCAGAGAAAAGGAAAUCAUUUACUUCGAGGAAAGACGAGUGUCAGUGAGGAGUAGGCAACACUUUAGACAGACUGCUGACUCUCAGAUGUCAUGGAGGCUUUAAAAAGCCUCUGUCCUAAAUAAAAUUAAAUUAUAUAUAUAUAUAUAUAUAUAUAUAUAUAUAUAUAUAUAUAUAUAUAUAUAUAUAUACAUACUUUAAAACAAUGCUUAAAAAAGACUGGAAAGUGAUCAUGAGGCCUACCUGGGCAAGUGAGUGAGAGAGACCUUGUCUCAAAAUGUAAAAAGCAAAACGGGACUGAGAUAUAGCCUGGCUCUAGAGUACUUGCCCAGCAUAUUGAACAUGCCGUAUUUAACCACAAAUCUGAAAAAAAAUAUUUUUAAAAUUCAAAAAUGAAAGUAGUGAGAUCCUUCCUUAAUAAGAACAAUUAAAUUCAUCAUGACUCCCAUGAGAGGCAAUGAACGUACUUAAAAAGAAACAGAAAAUCUUGCUAGUGGGAAAACCAGAGUUCCCGGGCUCUUACCUUGUUCUUUAUCAUGGGGUCUGCAUGGGCUUCCAGAAGCAGAGGGAUGAGAGUCUGGUUUUUCAUCUGGCAAGCAUAGUGCAGGGCAGUGUAGCCGUCCUGAAACACAGAGGACCAACCUUGUAGUUCAUCAGUCAGAUCAGCCAGCUGUGCACACCCACCGCGUUCAUCACCUCAGCACAAGAACCGCUCAUGCUUCAUAGGAGACAACUAACCAAAGCCAAUCUGCAAGCCAUUUAUGGGCAGUUGUAUUUCUUAUACUGUGAAUAGUUUCUUUUCUUCCUUACUAUACACAUGAAAAAUCCAGUAACUCAUUGAUAUCUUCCCCUUUCAUAUUCUCCAUUCUAAAUUUAGAUGUACAACUUAUAAAAACAUAUUAAACUCAUCAUCAAAUAUAACAUUAAAUAAUGCAAUCAAUGGAAACAAGAAGGAGGUAGUCACUCAUCACUGAACAAUGGGAAUACCCGUAUAAUAAAUUAGGCAUCAAAAAAUAGAAGUGCAAUUCUUUUGAAAUCAAAUUUCAACAUGCUCUCUUUGGUAAGAUAUUGGAAACCUAAAGUUUUACCAAAAAAAAUGAGAAAAUAAAAAAAAGAAUAAUAAAAGGUCAGCCUACCCAAAGAGUACUAACAAAGAACUAAAUCUGGAGUGUAGGGUAACAGGUAAAAAUUAACUUUCUUAUGGGGAGGAGAGAGGCAGGGACAAUUCAAUUACUAUGGCUGCUACCACAACUGGGGUAUUUCUCUGAACUUUGACCUUAUCUACCUCUCUUCUAGUUGCAACAGUUCUUAACAUACAGUAUUAAUUACAUUCUAAUCACUCCUCUGAGGACUUUGCAGGAACCUAUCCUAUAAGGUCAGUACUAAUUUCCAAUUUACAACCAGGCACUUUGGGCGGGUUUGUAAUCUCAGAUACUCAGAGUUCUGAAGCUGAAGGAUCACAGACCACGGCCAGGCUGAGUAACUCGGGGUUGCUUUAUUAAAUUUAAAAAAAAAAAAAAGGAGUGCAGGCAUAGCUCAGUAGUAGAAUAUUUACUUAGCAUGUAUAAUGAUUUGAGUUCAGUCUUUAGCACAAUUUGUUUUAAUUUCCAUUUGAUGGGUAAGAAAAUUGAGUCAGAUAGGUUUAUAAUGUUUCCAGCUCACUUAACUAGAAAUAAACAAGAUUAAAUGUAUGCACAGGCAUUCUAAUUCCAGCUGCCAAACUAAGGAUAGUAUUUUGAUAUCAUUGUUCUUAAUUUAACACUACAGACAAACACAAAUCCUCUCAAAUUUUUCAUAUAUUCAACAAAUACUUUAUUCUCGUGAGUUUAGUAAAAGCGUAUAACUCCAAAGUUACCUGAUGACAAGAGAAAAGAGAGGAAAACUAUACUCAAGACAUCUAGAGAAACAAAGCAUUCAUCUUUGCUACCAAGUAUACGGCCCAGGUGUAUCAUGUGAAUAUUAUUUCAGAAUACAAACUUACGCAGUCAGUAGCAUUAACUUCUACGCCAGCAUUAAGGAGCAUCCGGACAAGAGUCUCAUUCUGCUUUGUCUUUGAUACCUGUUACAAACAACACACACAAGAAAUUGUUUCAUAAACAUUUUGUACACCUUGUUUGGGGCUGUGCCCAUCAGCUGGUGGAAUUCCUACUGGAGCUUGUGUUAAUGGGAAUAACUACUGUCCAUCAUCUGGUAGCUACAUAAAAGAGGUAACACUGCACACUUCUGUUUUUAUAAGCUUUGACUUCCAUACAUUACAUAUGCAUAAUGUAUAUGUAACAUAUAUGUUAACCCAGAUACUGCAGUCAGCAUGGAGACAGCUGAACACUAGUCCCAUCUUCAAACUUUAGAAGAUGACUUUUCUUUCCAGCAAAACCUGCAAAGAUUCUAAAUACAAGGCACUGCGAACAUCUGCAGGCAAACAAGAACAAUGAAUUUAUAUGUAAAACUGAGAUGUGUAACAAAACACAGGGCAUACUAUGUAGAGCAGCCAUUAGUAAAUGGAAUCGUACAUGCCAUCCGUGAAGUUCGUUUUCACCGUGGAACACUGUUUAAAAGGAUUGCAACUAGAGGAGAUCCAGUCUCAAAAACCUGUAGUAUUUCACCUUAUAGGUUAUUUAGCCCAAUAUAAUUACACAAAACCGACUGAUAAUGAAACAAACUAUUUUAAAGAACUCUGGGGUUUAGGAGCAUUGUGGAAAACACUACAAUGCAAGCAACCACACUACAUGAAUAGUCAAAAAAUCACUUCAAAUGCAGAGCAAUACCAUGGAAGGAAUUUGAGGAAUUUGUGCAUAUGAUCUGGUCUCAUCCAAAACAUGCUAGCUUAGGAAAAGAAACUGUGGCUCUUACCAAUAGCAAUCCACGGAAUGCCCCCGGAAACAGUGGCAAAAAAUGUGAUGACAGGUGUGGUCUUUAGGUAAGCAACUUUUAAAAAGGGUACUGAAUGUCACAAAGUAUAAAACUGCUAUGAAAGAAAACAAAACAAAAAAAAAAGCACACCCAUUAAGUUGUCUUACUUCCUGGCAAGCCCAUGGAGGUAGGUUUUAGAGGAAUAUGGAGGAAAAUUGGUU
rnacentral:lncRNA from 1 species